rnacentral:lncRNA from 1 species
UUGAAUCUAGUUUUCGAGUUGAUUUAAUCCGAAUAAUGUGCAUGAUAUCUCAUGAUGAGUGUUAACUUAGAGCUCUUAGAAAUUAAUUUCAACUUCUGCUAUAGGAAUCAGUUGUGCUGAUACAUGACGUGAUAGAGAUUUGCUCUGUUUUCAUUUCUAAAACAUAGUUUUUGGUGUGUUUGAAUUUCAGAUGAAAUGGUUAUGG